CGACGUGGAUGGAACUGGAGAGUAUUAUGCUGAGUGAAAGAGCAACAAAACCCAGAUCUAUAUGAACAAAAUAUAUAAAACUAAAGACAUGAGAAUAAAAUCAGGUUUAAAAAGACAAUGUUCCCAUAAGAAAUAAUGGCAAAGAAAGGAGCUCCUAGUCACACUCAGCAAACCUGCUUUCCCA